rnacentral:rRNA from 1 species
AAUAGAUACCCGGGUAGUCCACGCUGUAAACGGUGGGUACUAGGUGUGGGGUCCACUCCACGGGUUCCGCGCCGUAGCUAACGCUUUAAGUACCCCGCCUGGGGAGUACGGCCGCAAGGCUAAAACUCAAAGGAAUUGACGGGGCCCCGCACAAGCGGCGGAGCAUGCGGAUUAAUUCGAUGCAACGCGUAGAACCUUACCUGGGUUUGACAUGGAUCGGGAGUGCUCAGAGAUGGGUGUGCCUCUUUUGGGGUCGGUUCACAGGUGGUGCAUGGCUGUCGUCAGCUCGUGUCGUGAGAUGUUGGGUUAAGUCCCGCAACGAGCGCAACCCUUGUUCACUGUUGCCAGCACGUUAUGGUGGGGACUCAGUGGAGACCGCCGGGGUCAACUCGGAGGAAGGUGGGGAUGACGUCAAGUCAUCAUGCCCCUUAUGUCCAGGGCUUCACGCAUGCUACAAUGGCUGGUACAGAGAGUGGCGAGCCUGUGAGGGUGAGCGAAUCUCGGAAAGCCGGUCUCAGUUCGGAUUGGGGUCUGC